CAGAUUUUGGUAUGCCGAAAAAUUUGACAAAGUUAAGUUGCCAAGAGCUUCAAAUAGCUCAUAGAGAUUUUAGCAACAUUGUUGGCUCUGUAGUCUGCAAAGGAACAAUCAAGGAUGGGCCUGAGGUUUCUAUUAUACCAUUAUGUGCCCGUGAAGAUCAUUGGACUAGCCAAUAUGAACUUUUAUACCAAAAGAAGGUUAUUGAUCUGGCAACGUUAAAGCAUGAGAACAUAGCAAAGUUUAUGGGUUAUUGCAGAGAAAGUGACCCAUUUUACAGGAUGGUUGUCUUUGAAUGCACAUCAAAUGGGACCCUAUAUGAGCACCUACACCAUGGGAAAGCAGCUCAAUUAUCUUGGGACAGACGAAUGAAAAUAGCCACCGGUAUUGCCAAAGGUUUAAGGUAUUUGCACAGUGAGCUGCAACCUCCAUCCACUAUAUCGAAG